CGGGAAGCUCCGAAAAUAAAUGGCGGCCGCCGGAGGUUGGCAGAUCGGCUAGGCGACAAAAGCAGUGCAGUUAUUCUUUCUUUCUUUUUUUUUAAUUACUCUUCACUCGUGAACUACCCGGUGGACGAGACCGGAUUAUGAAAGACACUAUGACUGCCAUCGAACUGAAGGACCUCGGUAACAAAUUAUUCAGUGCCCGAAAGUACGAAGACGCCAUAUCGUGCUACAGCAAAGCCAUCAUCAAGAGCCCAUCCACGGCCACCUACUUCACCAACCGGGCGCUAUGCUACCUCAAGCUCCAGCAAUGGGAGCUGGCGUGCCAGGACUGCCGGCGCGCGCUCGACCUGGACCCCAGCUCGGUCAAGGGCCAUUUCUUCCUCGGUCAGGCACUGCAGGAGAUGGACAACUACGACGAAGCCGUCAAGUACCUGCAGAGGGCCAACGACCUGGCCCGUGAGCAGAAGCUCAACUUUGGGGACGACAUUGCGUGCCAGCUGCGGCUGGCGCGCAAGCGUCGCUGGCAGCUCAUCGAGGAGAAGCGGCUGCAGCAGGAGAUCGAGCUGCAGACCUACCUCAACCAGCUGAUCCUGCUCGACAAGCAGAAGAGGGUGCAAGAAAUGAGGAUGAAGGGAACACGCGAGGCGGACAUCGAACGGGUGGAGGCUGCACUGGACAAGUACAUAUCAGAGUUGAACAACAUAUUUGCAAAAGUGGACGACAAGCGCAGGAAGCGAGACGUGCCAGACUACCUGUGCGGCAAGAUCAGCUUUGAGAUCAUGCGCGAGCCUGUCAUCACGCCCAGCGGGAUCACCUACGACCGCAGGGACAUCGAGGAGCACCUACAGAGGGUCGGCCACUUCGACCCAGUGACGAGAACACCACUGACCCAGGACCAGCUGAUUCCAAACUUGGCAAUGAAGGAGGUGGUGGACGGCUUCCUCGCGGAAAACGAGUGGGCCCUCGACUACUGAGAACGCCCCAUCCGCCGUGACUUUGCACAGGACCGUGCGCUGUCCCGCCGAAAGUCACCCGCUUCGAUUUCAUGUCACCACCUGCUUUCUUCGCUCUUAACAAGACCGAGCUGGUGGGCGCCUCCAUAAGCUGCUGUGCGUGUGUUACGCAGCUACCAGACGGCGGGCUCUUUCUUUCCUUUUCUUUCUUUUUUUUUUUUUUCUUUGUCCACACCUCUCUCGUCUCAACAUGCCCGCAGCUGGUCGUCAGGUUUCCCCAUGAAAUCGGGUCUUGAACAAGUCCUGCGUAUAGAUCGGUCUCUCGUGUAUAUGAGUGAAUGAUUUAUGCACUCUCACUCCGGUAACAGCUGUGAAUUGCAUUAUGCGAGCCUCUGCUGUAAUGGUUAGUAGCAUGGAUUCACUCACUCUUUGAGCAUUCCGAUUACGAAAUUAAUGAGCCGUUGAAGCAGCAUGUUGUUCGGUCUUGCCUUGAUUCAUUGCACAGUGUCGUAUUCGUUUCACCGAACGUCUUCAACACCAGGACUUGAAAUGCAACUCUUGAUUUCCGUCAGUUUCAAAUGGAAGUGUUACAGUGGGCAACCGGAUGAAGGUCUUGGUCCUGUGUGUAGCUGUACCACACGUGCUUCAUAGAAGCUUGCGCUGAAUAAGUUUCUUGUGUUUUCCUACAAACUUAAAUGAAUAGUUUGAAAUUGCUGGAAGCGGCCUCAUCCACAGUGGACAUUGCGAACAGAGCAGAUGGCGACAAAGGAGACACGAGAAAAGCUGGCACUGUCCCCCUUCUCGUCGUCUGUUCCAUUCUCACUGCGCUGGUCGCGACGACCUCAUGGUUACCACCAUAAGCGUCUGAUGGAAUGUUUUGAAAUUGCGAGGUUCAGGUGAGCUUCUUGUCUAUGUCUGAAGAGGCAGCGGGAAAGUAGACGUGGGUGUGUGCAGCCUGUCAGUCAGUCUUGUCACUUUGUGUCAGUGGCCUGCUGCCUUCUCUCCAACCGCCCAUGUAAAGGUAUACGUUGUACAUACAUGCAGUGUCAUGGGCGUGAUGAACCAUUACUGCCCUAGGGCAUCCGCGUAACUCUUCGAAUGGUCCCAUAGCUCUAGGUUUGCUUGUCCCAUACCGCACUAGCCUUGGCACUUGUACGCUCUACUGCAGCCAUAGAGUCCAAAGUGGCAAAAAAGCCCAGUGGUACCCGGUUCCAGGAAUGCCUGUGUUUAGAACUUGGUGUGUUGUAAACGUAGGUUUGUCUGGGCGUGCCGUUUUGCACACUGUUAUGAAGUGGGGAUCUGGGUUUCCCAUUAUCAAGCCUUGCGUUCACUUGUAUGGCUUUGGUCAGGAGUGUCUAGUGGUGGGGACUGCCGUAAUUCUGCAGCAGUCACCGACACUGGCUUCCUUGCGUCGUAAGUGCGGAAUCGAUGUCAGUACCUUUUCUUUGUCAAGCUGCACAUGAUGAUGAUGAUGUGGUUUGGAUUUCCACAUGUUACACCAACAGAGUGGUGUGGUACAGCCUGUGUCAUCCGUCUUGAUGGCAUUAUGUGACUGUCACCUUGCAUAGCGCCAUCUGCACACACAUGUGGUGAAAGUGACACGAUGUUGCAUUGUUGUUGUUGCUGGCUACAUCGAUUCAGAGUGUUUGAUUUCUUCAAUGGAUUUGGAUGUGGUUUGAUCUUGCAAACAGUCUGGCCGCAAUCUGACUGUUCAACUGAGCACUGGCACUCCAUCUUUCUUUUGACUUUGCAGUUGGCAAGUCAAGACCACCAUUGCUCCAUGUUGAUAAAGGGUGUGUUGAAUGUGCCCUUCCCAGUGCAAUGCCAUCGGCCAUUCUAGCACAUUUUGGGUUGGAAUAAUGUGACGAUUCCAUGCCAGUCCACAUUCACAUUUAGGCAGUGGUGCUAGUGGUGCUCCGUCUACAUUUCGCCAGAAUUAGUCCGUCAUGAGUUAUGGAUGAUAGGAGAGGAACGGAGUCGGGUGAAAGGAUCCCUGUUUUGAAAUCUCAAACACUCGAAGCAAAGAGAGCUAGGGCCAAGGGAACCUACCUCGAGGAGAAAACAGCAGAGGUGUAUUUUAAGCCACUAGCAUUGCAUGGGAUGCAGACAGAAUGUGGUGUCAGUUUGCACUGCUGUGGCUUGAAAUUUGAUUGGCUACUUGCAGCCUCAGCCAGUUUCCGAGCUAUUUGUUAAAUUGAGAGAUGGUUCUGGAUUGAUGACCGCACUGUGAAGACUUUGUAACUCUAUAGGAAACCACAAAAGCCAUGCUUAAUGCUACAUUAAAGUCAAGUAUUAAAUUGAGAUAAAGCAAUAGAUUACUAUUAUUUUUUAUAAUGAAAGUAACUCCAUGAAUGGAAGGAGACAAUUGGUAGCCACUGUGAAAAUGUGACACCAGCUUUGUUGGCACAUAGCAUGACUCCAUUUAUAACCAGUAAACUGUAGUCAAUCACUGAUGAUAAAAAAAGUUGCAUUGCAGCAGAAAACUAACACAGUUGGGUCGUUUUUUGUUGAAUUUGCCAAACUGGCUGGUGCUGCUACGUCACAUGUUUCUAUUGGCACCGUUUUGCGGUAGUGCGGGUAACCUUUCCGUGUGAAGCUCGUGACUCAAAUAGUCGGCAGAGCACGACGUCCGAGGUUGUUGCAGCCAUGUUUGUCGUUGCUGAUCCAAAUUGCGGAUGAAUUGUGUGGCCCUUUAAGUUGCAGUUUUCUCAGAAACUAAGUAAUCUCUUUGCCAGGGGUGGCACCAGGAUUCUUUUGUUGGGAGAACAGAGCAUGAUUGUCCACUUUCGUUACAAUUGUAGGAGGGUGUUCUGUCACUUGGCACUCCGCGGUGCUAGGGGGGGGGGGGGGGGGGUCUGUUAGGGGGCCAAUAGGAAGUAUUGGGGGAUCACUUGGUUUCCCAGAGCCGCUACCGCUCUUGGCACACAAAAAAAAAUUUUCUGGAAGGGUAACACGACAUCAAUGGAUUCAAUGCUUGCCUUUUUGUGUGUCUCAGCAGGGAACGCUAGCAUGCGACAUCCUCCCCACUUGUUUCUUUUCCCGGUGUCGCUUGGUGCUGGAAAUAGCUGCCCAUUGCAUGCAUACGUGGCACAAGCGUGAAAACUCUGCACUGCUGUUGGAAAAUGACCUAGGUCAGUAUUUGACCUAGGUCAGUGUUGACCUGGGUCAAUACUGACCUUGGUCAACACUGACCUGGGUCAACACAAAUGACCCAGGUCAAUGUUGGAAAUGACCCAGGUCAAAAAAGUAUUUGCACAGAGGACACAUAGCACACUAAGUGUCUGCGUUACAGUUGGAACGAAGCAGUCGGCUUUUAUCACGCAACAGUCUUCAGCGCUGCAGGCACCAAGUGUUUGGCAGCAUUUGCUUGCUUUCUCUGUCCGUGAUUAUUCGUGCUUCGGGUAGCUGCUACGCACUAGCUUAAGCGAGGUGCAAGCACUGAAACACUGUGUGAGUGGUGUGUGUAUGUUCAUGCAUUGAAGUACCGAAGGGAAAGUGUGCGUUUGUGAAUGAGAAUCAUAAAUGAUAGUGCCGCUGCCUCCGACAGCAGUCAUGUAUUUGCGCAAGGCAACCAAGGCGACUGUCUGAUCGACGUUGAUGUUGGUACGCAUGCAAGGUAUGAAAGUGAGUGGACUGGGCUGCCACAUCUUUUAUUUCCUUUCUUUCUUUUUUGAGAUCGAGUUAACAGCGAUGUGUGUAAAUAAACACUGGUCGAGUUUCAAACUGUUAAAACAA
rnacentral:misc_RNA from 1 species